CACAAACACUGGAAAACCGUAAACGAAAAAUAAAUCUGCAUGACCUAUCAUUAUACCGGAGGAGUGAUUUCCGGUGGAUAUAUGGUUUAUCUUAAAAGCAAAAUAAAACUGGAUGGAUGGACGAGAGACGGCCUGCCAUGCGAGGCACGGGAAGUCUCC